rnacentral:rRNA from 1 species
CGCCGCGUGAAUGAAGAAGGCCUUCGGGUCGUAAAAUUCUGUUGUCAGAGAAGAACGUGCGUGAGAGUAACUGUUCACGUAUUGACGGUAUCUGACCAGAAAGCCACGGCUAACUACGUGCCAGCAGCCGCGGUAAUACGUAGGUGGCGAGCGUUGUCCGGAUUUAUUGGGCGUAAAGGGAACGCAGGCGGUCUUUUAAGUCUGAUGUGAAAGCCUUCGGCUUAACCGAAGUAGUGCAUUGGAAACUGGAAGACUUGAGUGCAGAAGAGGAGAGUGGAACUCCAUGUGUAGCGGUGAAAUGCGUAGAUAUAUGGAAGAACACCAGUGGCGAAAGCGGCUCUCUGGUCUGUAACUGACGCUGAGGUUCGAAAGCGUGGGUAGCAAACAGGAUUAGAUACCCUGGUAGUCCACGCCGUAAACGAUGAGUGCUAAGUGUUGGAGGGUUUCCGCCCUUCAGUGCUGCAGCUAACGCAUUAAGCACUCCGCCUGGGGAGUACGGUCGCAAGACUGAAACUCAAA